AUAGGUCAUUCUUAGAGAUUGAUAUUGUAAUUAAAAUAUGCUGUUAGCCUCUUAGUUUUAUUACGGAAGAUCAGUACUUAUUUAGGUUAGUAUAAUUGAACGCACCUAUAGAAAUAAUUUUUAUCUACGGUUCUUCCGGUGUUUCUCGUCUGUCGUGUCAUGUGUCGUCUCAUUUUGUCCUUGGUGUGUGCUUCGUUAAGAUUGUUUCAGUUUUGCUCUCUUUAAAUGGAAACGAUGGUUGAAGACAUUACCUGGAGAUAACAUUGUUGGAUUAGAUGGCCAAACUAUUUAUGGAUCUAGCGUUUGCAGCAGUCAGACUUAUUUUUAUUUCCAAGAAUGCUAAUGAGGUGGUCGAAAAAUUCCGAAGACAUCAAUAUUAACAAUGAUCGUCCAAAUGGAGAGAAAGAGAGAAUUAAAGUUCAAAUUGAUGGUUUUGAAACAGCUAAUGUCUUGUCUUGAUUUGCUGUUUUUGUUUUCAACUUGCAACUUUAUGCAGUUAAUUUUCAACAGAUGAGUGAGAGCUAGAGGAGAUUUAUAUGAAUUUCGCUGAAACAAGUUUUUUGCUAUGAUAUUCCGUUUGUCUGGAACACCAAAUUGCCUGCAAUGUUAUCCCUUCUAGAUUUGGUUUGCUCAUCACACUGGUAGACUUCAGAACGCCACUUUCUACAAUUAAUUAAGCUUAUGGUACAAAGGAGAAAGAAUUGAUGUCUGCAUGGGUGUUGUCUUUCGUGGUUUAUGUUCUUGAUUUGCUGUUUCGUCUUCGCCUUGUAACAUCAUGCAGUUAAUUUUCAACCCAUAAGUGAGAGCAAGUGGAUAUUUAUUUGAAUUCCACUUAAAUAACAAAUUCUCUGCUGUGGUAUUCCUCCUAGAGUUCGUUUGCUUUUCACACCUGUAAACGUUGGAACUUUCCGUUCUACAAUUAAUUAAGGUUAUACAAUAAAUGAGAGAGAAUUGAUGUUCAGUUUGGAUGUACUGAAAAGCCAAUGUUCACAUGGGUGUGGUCUUUUGUGGAUUAUUAUUCUUGAUUUGCUGUUUCGUCUUCGCCUUGUAACAUCAUGCAGUUAAUUUUCAACCCAUGAGUGAAAGCAAGUGGAUACUUAUUUGAAUUCUGGAGUUGGUUUACUUUUCACACCUGUAAACUUCGGAAUGUUACAUUCUAUAAUUAAUUAAGGUCGACGUUGGAGAAGACAAAGAUG